CAGCGCCGCGGUAAUACGUAGGUGGCAAGCGUUGUCCGGAAUUAUUGGGCGUAAAGGGCUCGCAGGCGGUUUCUUAAGUCUGAUGUGAAAGCCCCCGGCUCAACCGGGGAGGGUCAUUGGAAACUGGGAAACUUGAGUGCAGAAGAGGAGAGUGGAAUUCCACGUGUAGCGGUGAAAUGCGUAGAGAUGUGGAGGAACACCAGUGGCGAAGGCGACUCUCUGGUCUGUAACUGACGCUGAGGAGCGAAAGCGUGGGGAGCGAACAGGAUUAGAUACCCGAGUAGUCCCUGUCUCUUAUACA
rnacentral:rRNA from 1 species